rnacentral:lncRNA from 1 species
AUGGAUAGUGUCAUCCUUCACAGUUCUGACAUGAACAUUUACGCAUUAGAUGUUCUAAGUCGGCUCCCUGCAGUGCAUGUCAACAUUAGAACACCUGGGGCAGAGCUGGCUCCCAGAACAACAGGAGAGACUUGCCAACAAGCUUGCUUAGGAUUUCUCUGCAGUGGAAAUUUUGGGACUGGGACCUGUUUGGAAAUAUCAGAGAUAACUAGAGGUGGGGGUAACGCCAAUGCUUCCUAGUAGAACAAGAUAGAAAACCACAUGGAUCAUUUCAAAGAAGCCACAGUUUGGAUUGGAUGCAAGAAGGAAUGGUUUAGAAGAGGUCACAGGUCACUGCCCCUUUGUUACUGAGCAUACUUUGGUUUUGUUUCCUCUGUCAUGAUUGGAAAAGGAUCUGUUGCUAACCUUCUAUCAAGUUGUUCUUGUAUAACUUGAGGCCCAGCAUCAACUCUCGAGAGGAGUGAAAAAGCUACUGAAUGCAAGUAGAACAUGGAGCCUCUCCAUCACUCUAUCAUUUUUGUCUAUCACUAAGUCUGUUGAUUCAUUGAAGUCCAAACUUUUGCUGGCACCACCUUGGCCUCUCACGGUCACCUCCACAAAAUCUCCAAGUGAGUCAGAUGAAAUGGUAAAGAGUAAAGAGGUGUGUUUCUGGCUCCUCCACUCCAGACUCUGAGCAAUGAACAACUCAAACAAAGUCUUUCAACCUGAAACUCUCAAGGGCAGGGUGUGGGGAGGUGUGCAGCAUGGUUCAUGUUCAGCAGGUUGAACAUGUGUACUUUCAGUCCAUUUAAUAACUAACUCCCCAGCUGAGCUGCAGUCCGGCUUCCAAUGCUUUUCAUAGAAAAUACCACUAAAACACCGAUCUUCAAAACUUUUGUGUUUUAUGGCCAGGAAUAAAAGCUUACCUCUUUCCCUGCAGUGAUUAUCUUUCCCUGGUUGCUCAUGUUCUAAAAAGUUUAUUAAUUAAAUUUGGCUUCUCUGGUUGAUUUUGUAGAAAGAUUUUUUUCACACAUUGAAGUCAAGCAUCUGUACACAUAUUGGUUGACACUCUGUUGAUAGCUAAGGAUGCAAAUGGAAAAGGCUUUUGCCUGUAAGCUGUCUUGUAUGACUACAGAGCCCCACCAUUCAUGCAAUUCUUCAAGUUCCAUAUAACUAGAAGGAGUUCUUUGCUAGCUAACAGAGAAGACAUCACUCCUCUCAUACCUCUAUGGAAUGUUGCUAGGUAAGAAAUAAGAAUUGUUCAUCCAAAGCCUGGAAAGUCCAGUAUUCUGCCUCUAAUGGAGGACCAACAGAUAUAUUUUUUUCCAGCAGAUAUUUUGUAAGAAUCCUGGGUUGUUUUCCUUGAUGUGAGGCUUAAAAAUCUAGAAAAACAUUAUGAAAUGUGAUUUCUAUCUACUUGGCAGGGAGGGAUGGUGUGGUAUUAGAUUUAAACACACACACACACACACACACACACAACUCUGUGGAGACAAGUUUCAACCUAUAUCUUGGAACCCCUGGUUCAAUCCUAAGAGACAAAGGACAUCAGACCUUGUAGAGAGAGGUAUCAGAAUGUGGACUUGAAUCAGACUGCCCAUAUUCAGAUACUGGCUCCUUUAGUUACCAAGUUAGGCAAGUUACUUAUGUCUUUGUGCUUCAGUUACCCAAUCUGUAAAAUGGGGACAAUAGUAGAUCCUACUUCAUAGAGUUGUUAUGAUAAUUAAGAUUUGUAAAGUACUGGGGUUCCUGGAUGGCUCAGUCAGUAGAGCAUGAGACUAUUGAUCUCGGGGAUUGUGAGUUCAAGCCCCACACUGAGCAUAGUAGAAUUAUAUAAAAAUAAAAUCUUUUUUAAAAAAUUAAAUAAAAUUUGUAAAGUGCUUAGAAAUGUGUUGGCCACAUAGUAAGCUCUGUAUAGGUGUUUCUUAAAUAAAUUAAAUAAAAGUGCGUUAUAACCAUAUUGGUUUGCUAGGGACUGCCAUAACAAUACCACAGACUGGGUGGCUUGAACAACAGAAUUUUUUUUUAAGAUUCUAUUUAUUUAUUUGAGAGAGGGAGAGUGAGCAUGAGUGGGGGAGGGAGGAACAGAAGGAGAGAGUGAAGCAGACUCCCCCUGUUGAGCGUUGAGCUCAACACAGGGCUUGGUCCCAGGACUCCAAGACCAUGACCUGUGCUGAAGGCAGACGCUUAACCAACUGAGCCAUCCAG